rnacentral:rRNA from 1 species
UGGAUCUCAAAUCAGAUAAGG